AGCUCCAAUAGCGUAUAUUAAAACUGUUGCGGUUAAAAAGCUCGUAGUUGGAUUUCUGCUUAGGAUGGCUCUUCUACCCCCUGGGUCUGUAUGAGUCAGCCCUGGGCAUCUUCUUGAACGCGUGCGUACUUCACUGUGUGGCGUGAUUCAAGACAUUUACUUUGAGGAAAUUAGAGUGGUUCAAGCAAGUUUGCGCCUUGAAUACAUUAGCAUGGAAUAAUAAUAUAGGACCUCGGUUCUAUUUUGUUGGUUUCUAGAGUCGAGGUAAUGAUUAAUAGGAAUUGUUUGGGGCAUUCGUAUUAAACUGUCAGAGGUGAAAUUCUUGGAUUGGUUAACGACGGACUACUGCGAAAGCAUUUGCCAAGGAUGUUUUCA
rnacentral:rRNA from 1 species